AACAAAGUAGCCAGACUAGACAGAAACUCUUGCUGCAAUGACUCAUUACAAAGGAACAAUACUUAGUGGUCCCGCAUAGGUGAUGCACACGAUAUAAACGUGUGUACAGGAUGACUUCGGCGUGAAUAUAAAUGACCAUGUAGAGUGCGGCAUACAGUCGUGUAAGCCAGGAUAUGUUUGCAAUAUUCUGAAGAAUACAUGUGAAAUUAAAGAUUGUUCACCGUUAUCAAUUUCGAACAGCACCGUUCUUCUCGGUAAUGUAAACGCAAUUGGAGGCAAGAUAAAGAUGCGAUGUAAGGAGGGGUUCACUGCAAAAGGACACCCAGUCAUCACUUUAACCUGUGGAACGAACGGAGUCUGGAGUCAAGAGCCGAUAAAUUGCAUCCCAAUCACAUUGAAAAUGGGCGUCAACGGACAUUAUACGUUAACGUUUGCCGAGGCGGCUGGGAGAUGCUCUUACUAUGGCCUUGCAAUUGCCACCCCUGCUCAAUUGCUCGAGGCGUGGAAACAAGGAAUGGAGAUGUGUAGUUGUGGGUGGCUUUCAGACGGAUCCAGUGGUCUCAUUUUAUAAUCUGAGCCUUCUUUGUGCCUUUCGAACUUAUCAGAAUGUCUGGUGUAGUAUUUGAGUGUGCACUUGUGUAGUAGCACAAUAGCUUUUUUGGUAUUUCGUUUUAUGUACAAAAAUAGAAAUAGAAAACUAU